GUGUCAGCCGCCGCGGUAAUACAGAGGUGGCGAGCGUUAUUCGGAAUUAUUGGGCGUAAAGGGCGCGUAGGCGGCUUGACAAGUCCCGGGUGAAAUCCCUCGGCUCAACCGAGGAACUGCCUUGGAAACUGUCUGGCUUGAGGCCGGGAGAGGGUAGUGGAAUUCCCAGUGUAGCGGUGAAAUGCGUAGAUACUGGGAGGAACACCGGUGGCGAAGGCGGCUACCUGGACCGGUUCUGACGCUGAGGCGCGAAAGCGUGGGUAGCAAACAGGAUUAGAAACCCUUGUAGUCC
rnacentral:rRNA from 1 species